UCGGACUGUAGGCUGCAACUCGCCUACACGAAGUUGGAAUUGCUAGUAAUCGUGGAUCAGCAUGCCACGGUGAAUACGUUCCCGGGUCUUGUACACACCGCCCGUCACACCAUGGGAGCUGGUAACACCCGAAGUCAGUAGUCUAACCGCAAGGAGGACGCUGCCGAAGGUGGGAUUAGCGACUGGGGUGAAGUCGUAACAAGGUAUC
rnacentral:rRNA from 1 species